rfam:Planctomycetes bacterium GWF2_41_51 gwf2_scaffold_2399, whole genome shotgun sequence.
GAGGGUGUAGCUCAGCUGGUAGAGCAACGCACUUUUAAUGCGUAGGUCUUGGGUUCGAAUCCCAACACCCUCA